UACGAGUGCCCCGAGCGUUAUCCGGAAUCAUUGGGCGUAAGGGGUGUGUAGGAGGUUUUGUUAGUCUUCUGUCAAAUUCUUCGGCUUAACCGGGGGCUCGCAGAGGAAACGGCAAAACUAGAGGAUGGGAGAGGUGAAUGGAACUCUAAGUGUAGGGGUGAAAUCCGUUGAUAUUUAGGGGAACACCAAAAGCGAAGGCAAUUCACUGGCCCACUCCUGACUCUGAAACACGAAAGCGUGGGUAGCGAAUGGG
rnacentral:rRNA from 1 species